ACCGCAAGCGGUCAUGGAACUGGGAACUGAGUACAGAAGAGGAGAGCGGAAUCCACGUGUAGCGGUGAAAUGCGUAGAGAUGUGGAGGAACACCAGUGGCGAAGGCGGCUCUCUGGUCUGUAACUGACGCUGAGGUGCGAAAGCGUGGGGAGCGAACAGGAUUAGAUACCCUGGUAGUCCACGCCGUAAACGAUGAGUGCUAGGUGUUAGGGGGUUUCCGCCCCUUAGUGCUGCAGUUAACGCAUUAAGCACUCCGCCUGGGGAGUACGGCCGCAAGGCUGAAACUCAAAAGAAUUGACGGGGGCCCGCACAAGCGGUGGAGCAUGUGGUUUAAUUCGAAGCAACGCGAAGAACCUUACCAGGUCUUGACAUCUUCGGAUGUCCCUAGAGAUAGGGAGUUCCCUUCGGGGACCGAAUGACAGGUGGUGCAUGGUUGUCGUCAGCUCGUGUCGUGAGAUGUUGGGUUAAGUCCCGCAACGAGCGCAACCCUUGAUCUUAGUUGCCAGCAUUGAGUUGGGCACUCUAAGGUGACUGCCGGUGACAAACCGGAGGAAGGUGGGGAUGACGUCAAAUCAUCAUGCCCCUUAUGACCUGGGCUACACACGUGCUACAAUGGAUGGUACAAAGGGCAGCGAAGCCGUGAGGUGAAGCCAAUCCCAUAAAACCAUUCUCAGUUCGGAUUGUAGGCU
rnacentral:rRNA from 1 species